CCCCCCGGUUAGCCAUCUUCUUUAGCAGUAACGCUUAGACAAUCUGGACAGUAGAGGAAUAAGAGCCGCUGAACACCAUAACACACAAACACGAGCGAUAAAGGAGCGGUAUCUGAUUCCCAAACUCGCCGGGAACCAGCCCUGAAAAGCCAUGGAAACAAGCCAAUAAUUCCAGUUUUGAAACACAAUCAAACAGCCUCAAAACCUGUCGAAGCACCUACUCGAGAUUUCUAGCCCGUGGUCGAGUUUCUGUUGCCGUUCGUGAUUCUGCUCGAGUUUGUCGGGUCCCUGUUCCAGUUGUGAUCAUUUUCUGCUAUUUACAGCUUUCAUUUUGUUUGUUUCGGUGAUUUUGCUGUUUGAUUUGGUAAGUUUUCGACUCCUUUGUAUUAUACCUUCUUUGAAUGAUUAAAAAUUGCUGAAAUCCUGUUUGAUUUUGUGGAUCUUCUUGAAUUUCGAUUGCUGCUAUUUUGAUGUGUAACGAGUAUAUAUUUUUCUUCAAUUUGAACGAAGCGCUAAGCUAAUUUGAAACGAGAUAGCUAUGUCAUGGACUGGAAGAAAAGUAAAAGACUAGUGAGAAUCAUAGGAUAAGCGAUAUUAGCUGUGGUUUGAGUUUCUCUGGAAAAUAGAGGAAAUAUGAGUGACUUUGUUAUUGGUUUUGGAAAACAAGCGUAUGGUUUGUUUGAAUGGCAUUUGCUGCCAAUGAUUGAGUCAAGAGAGUCUAUUGAGCUAUAGUUUCUGCUUGUGAUAAACUUAAUUUAAUCGGAUCUAGUAUACAUUGAGUCAAGAGAGUCUAUUGAGCUAUAGUUUCUGCUUGUGAUAAACUUAAUUUAAUCGGAUUAAAUUUGUUAUGCUGUUUUUUUAGUUCACUAAAGCUGCAUGUUGGAUUUUGACUUGCUUGCAUAAACAGAAUUUAAUUGGUUUCGCUUUGUUAUGAUUAAAUUAUAAGCAAUAAGAAGUGAAACGGCUGAAGAUAGUUUUAACCAGGUUGAAUUAUAUUUAGUAAAGCAUUUUAUUGAAUUUGAAGUUGUUCGAGAGUAACAAAUAUAAAUUGGAUUUCUUAUGUUGUGAAUUAUGAUUAAAUUAUGAGUAACACAAACACAAAAUUGCAAAUCUUUUUGGAAUGAGUAGAUUUGAGGUGUGCCAUGUCAAAUAAGAUAUAGUUAAUGGCCCUCAAACCUUAGCUUGAGUUUUCUCUAAAAUUAGAAUUGAGGUGCGCUGUGCCAAACAAAAAUGAUAAUUGCACUCCCCUUGCUUAAUUAAUCUUGUUUUGAUCCUUAGACCUCGAGGCGUGCCAUUUACCGAUUUCCAUGGCCCUCGCAAAUUUGAAGACACGCAAUUGCCUUAGGCGCGCUAGCUAAAUAAUUUACCUUCCUAAAUUCGGGUGCACAUUUAUGUGACACAAAUCUAAAUCUCAACGUUAGAUAAAAUGUGUUGCAAAUUACGGGUGCAUUUAUGUGACGCGGUUCAAGAUGCGUUUUAACAACGUUGAAAUCUUCUUAAAAUAAAAAGUUAAAAAUUUGCACGUAGGUACAAAAUGUAUUAAAAUCAGAUAAUUAAUCUGAAUAUAACAGUUGAGCGAUCGUGCUAGAACCACAGAACUCGGGAAUGCCUAACACCUUCUCCCGGGUUAACAGAAUUUCUUACCCGGACUUCUGGCUCGUAGACUGUAUUACAGAAUCAAACUUUCCUUAAUUCGGGAUUUAAGCUGGUGACUUGGGACACCAUAAAUUAUCCCAAGUGGCGACUCUGAAAUUAUUAAAUAAGUGAAUCUCGCUCUGAUUGUCCUUAUGUUGGAAGAACUUUCUUAUUUACGCUCUUCCCCGUGGUUGUAGUGUCAAAACGAAGGCGUGACACCUAUUGCUUGCUAUGGGAAAAAAGAAUUACUUUUUUAGUCUUCUCAGGGGAAAAGCUAGAGAAAUUUGAACUCAAAAAUGGUUCUCCGUGCAUAUAUUAGUCUUCUUUUUCUUAAUUUUCUUUUGUAGUCCCUUUGUCCAGAAGAGUUUAUGAUCGUGUUUCGUUAUUCAAUUAAACUUGUUUCAUCAUAAUGUACACCUUCCUAUUACAUGAUCCUAAUUCCUUUGUAAAUCUUCUAUAUUUUUCGUGUUUUAAUUAGAUUUUAGACAAGAUAAUCUAAUAUACAAUGAACUAUGUCCAGCAAUAUUCUCGUACUAUGUCCAGAAAUGAUUGGUGUACAUGUUCUUAUUCCUACUUGUAAUCAGUGAUUGUUGCGGUUCUUUUAAUUAAGGAAAAAAAUUUCAGUUGGUGUUGCUUUAAUGCCAAGGACAUGCGGUGUUCUGCUUAAUUAUGAAAAUUAUAUCUCUGUUACAUGUUAUUGCAUUAUAUAGUAGAAGGUUAUCAAUUCACACUGAUUUGCAAUUCUUUUAAGCUAAGGUUGAAUUAGUUCUACCAUAUUAGCUCGGUGAUAACUAAUUUAAUAUGUUGCAUUCACCAUUGUUAGUUAAAUUUUUAGGGGGAAAACAAAGCUAAAAAAGGGUCCAACCUUAAUUCUGGACACAUGAAAAGGGUUUCCUCUCUGAACCUUACUUGAAUAGACAUUGUUACUAAACCAAUCGUGUUUUAAUUCGUUCUCUUCCUUUCUCACAGUAAGUUCCUGUGCUUUCUAUUCUUCCUUAUUACCCUAAGUUUCUAACUAAUCAUCUACCUUUUGCAAUAGAAAAAUUUGAUGAGGAACUUAAAGUCAACAUUAUAUUAUUGUUAACGGAACAAUAACAAUUAUUUGACUAUGAAGGAGCUAGUUAAAACUCAAUUAUAACCGCAAGGCUGACUUAGCUUGCUUUGUCGAUAUGUUUGUGCACUUGAUCAUGGAUAAAGGUUGGUUGCAUGAACGGAAGUUCUAUAAAAAAUAUAUUGAGGGUGUUCAAUCUUUUAUGCAACUCGUUCAAUCAAACUUUGAUCGAAAUUCUAAAGUUUGAUGUCCAUGCCAAGACUGUUUAAAUAUGGAUUUUCAAACAUAAGAAGUAGUGUAUGACCACUUGUUGAUAAAAGGAAUUACGGGAAGUUACGUGCAAUGGAUAUACCAUGGGGAACAAUCACAAAGGAGAGAUAAAGAUGAAGCAAUUUACAACAGACGAAGGCGAAGAUGAAGAUGAAGAACAUGACAACGAUGAUGGAAUUAACGCUAUGUUAGAAGAUGCCAGUGGAAGAUCAUUUGCUAAUUUUUCGGAGGAGAAAACACUUCCUAAGUCAUAUUAUGAUGCUAGAAACCAGCUGCAAGGUUUAGGAUUAGGAUACAUUUCUAUUCAUGCUUGCAAAUAUGAUUGUGUGCUUUAUUGGGGUGAGCUUAAAGAUAGACAAAAGUGUCCACAUUGUGGUACUUCGGGGUGAAAAAUUAAUAACGGAAAGGAUAAAAAGAUUCCUCAUAAAUUCUUGUCAUAUUUUCCACUAAAGUCGAGACUUCAAAUGUUACUUAUGUGAAGAAAAACAAGUGAGGGCAUGAGGUGGCAUAAAGAAAAAUGUCUUGAUGAGCCAAAUGUAUUAAGGCAUCCUGCUGAUUCUGAAGAGUGGAAAGAAUUUGACAAGAAUCAUUAGUGGUUUGCUCAAGAACCGCAGAAUAUUAUACUCGGCCUUGCAACCGAUGGUUUUAAUUCAUUUGGUAACAUGAGCACAACUUAUAGUAUGUGGCAUGUCAUUCUGGUUCCUUAUAAUCUUCCUCCUUGGAAAUGUUUUAAGGAUCCAUUUAUGUUAAUGUCAUUGCUUAUUUCAGGUCCUCAAGCACCAGGAAAGGAU
rnacentral:lncRNA from 1 species